rnacentral:rRNA from 1 species
UACGUAGGGUGCGAGCGUUUGUCCGGAAUUAUUGGGCGUAAAGAGCUUGUAGGCGGUUUGUCGCGUCUGCUGUGAAAAUCCGGGGCUCAACCCCGGACUUGCAGUGGGUACGGGCAGACUAGAGUGUGGUAGGGGAGACUGGAAUUCCUGGUGUAGUGGUGAAAUGCGCAGAUAUCAGGAAGAACACCAACGGCGAAGGCAGCUCGCUGGGACGGUACUGACGCUGAGACGCGAAAGCGUGGGGAGCGAACAGG